AUACGGAGGGUGCGAGCGUUAUUCGGAAUUACUGGGCGUAAAGCGCGUGCAGGCGGGUGGAAAAGUCUGAUGUGAAAGCCCCGGGCUCAACCUGGGAAGUGCAUUGGAAACUGGGAGACUUGAGUACGGGAGAGGAGAGUGGAAUUCCUAGUGUAGGAGUGAAAUCCGUAGAUAUUAGGAGGAACACCGGUGGCGAAGGCGGCUACCUGGACCGAUAUUGACGCUGAGACGCGAAAGCGUGGGGAGC
rnacentral:rRNA from 1 species